rnacentral:miRNA from 1 species
UGCCGGCGGUGUGUGUGUGUGUGUGUGUGUGUGUGUGUGUACAUUUCCCGGCAGGAACAGA